rnacentral:misc_RNA from 1 species
UGUUCAAGUGUCUUUUGAAGAUUGGCUGAAACAGAAGAAAAUAUGGCUUCGAAUGCCCUCUCCAUUUGAACCCCAUCAACUAGAAAUAAGACGGAACACACACAGCACUUGUACACACACGUACACACACACUGGCACACACAUACACAUGUGCGUACAGUGAUAUAGUGACAAGCAAACACACAAACACAGAAAUAUACACACAGCGAAGAAGUAAAGUUGGAGCAUCAGCAGGCACCCACUGACUGGCGAGUCCAUCGACAUAAAGCCAGUGUCACACGACAGCAGCAGUUAUAGUGGAUGGAAGAUGAAGAAGAGAGUGGCUGGAUAAACAGCUCCAAUCACAGCAAACAAUAACACAAGUGAACAAUGAAGAAUAACUGGAAAUAUUUACUCAACUUGCCAUCUCCUUAGAGAUAAUGACUUGCCACCAAUACACACACUUUGUCUUCAUUUUACUUCCGGUGCUCUGCCUCUCUGUUGAUAUCAUCUAUCAUGUCAAAGAGGAAAAGAGCUCAAACACAUUUGUAGGGGACAUUGCUAAAGAUGCCCGUUUACACGACAGUGGCCACCAAGACAACCACAGAAUGAUAACAUUCACGCAAAUAGUAGGCCGGCUGACAACUUCACAGUUGUUUAAUGUCACUCAGGGCGGGAAAUUAUUCACGACUCAGCGAUUGGAUGCUGAAUCCCUUUGUACCUACAACUCUGACUGCUUCAGGAUUAUCAAAGUUGUUGUGCAUCGCAUGAAAACCUUUAUGAAAAUUUUGAAAAUUAAAGUAAUAAUAGAAGAUAUUAAUGACCACAAACCUCAGUUUCCCAGUGAAAUGAUUGAUCUGAUGUUUUCAGAAACUGAUGGCAAAGGAACAACAAAAUCAAUCCCAAAUGCCAUCGACAAAGAUGUUGGGGCCCAAAAUUCCCAAAUCAUUUACCGACUGGAGAAAACGAUAGACUUGCCAUUUUCAUUAUCAGUUUCCAAAAGAUUAGAUGGGACUGCUAAACUAGACCUUGUUUUAGUAGGUAAAUUAGAUAGAGAAAGCAAAGAUCUUUACAAUGUAGCAAUCAUAGCCACAGAUGAAGGAUUCCAUCCAAUGCUCAGUAAACUCAAUGUUCAGAUUACUAUAAUGGAUGCCAAUGAUAACCUACCGUCUUUCACACAAAGUAUUUAUAACAUUUCAAUCAGAAAAAUUCAUAAAAACGACAAACCUAUUGUUACUUUAUCUGCCACAGAUCAGGAUUCUGGUAAAAAUGGUCAGAUCACUUACCACUUUAGUUCAAAAACUUAUGACAUUGCUAAAAAUCACUUCCGGCUGAAUUCAACUACAGGAGAGGUGACUUUACACGAGAAAUUCCAUUUUGAUGAUAAAUCAUCUUACAAGAUUUUUGUUGAAGCCACAGAUAAGGGGAGCCCAGCAUUAAGUUCCCUGGCAAUUUUGCAAUUAAACAUUAUCAAUCAGGAAAACAAUCCCCCUUUAAUUGAUGUUGACUUUAUUUUACGAUCUUCAGAGAAUGAAACAACUGUUGCGGAAGAUGCUGAUGCCGGCAGUUUCAUUGCAUAUGUAAUCGUCACUGAUGAUGAUUUUGAUAAUAACGGCAAAGUGACCUGCAAACUUCAACAUGAAAAGUUCAAACUCGUAAAAUUACAAGAAAAUGAAUACAAAAUCAUAGUUCAGAAACGCGUAGAUAGAGAAGUAAAAGAAAAACAUGCAGUUACCAUUACAUGUGAAGAUAAAGGCAUUCCACCUUUAAGGACCCACAAGAAUAUGGUGAUUGCAGUGUUGGACGUCAAUGAUGUAAAACCACAGUUCACAAAAAAAAUAUUUAAUUUUCUAACAUAUGAGAAUGAAAAGCCUAAUUUUCCAAUUGGAUUUAUCAAUGCUUCGGACCCUGAUCUGGGCGAUGGAGGGCGGUUGACAUAUUCUUUGAUCCCAGGAAAAACCAAAUAUAAUUUACCAUUUCACAUAACUGACUAUGGAUUUAUUUCAACUUCCAAAACAUUGGACAGAGAACAACAAAACACUUAUGAAUUCCUUGUUUUUGUUAAAGACAAUGGAAUACCAUCGUUAAACAACACAGCCAAUGUUAUUGUCAAAGUUUUAGAUGAAAAUGACAAUGCACCUUAUUUUACAUUUCCCAGUGUCAAUCCAUUCAGACUUGAUGUCCACUAUCAUCCACAAAGUAAGAAUGACAUCACAGUUCUGAGAGCAUCAGACAGAGAUAGUAAAAAAAAUGCAUUCCUCAAAUAUGAAAUUCUGAGCGGAAAUAAUAAGCAGUUGUUUGCUGUUAAUCCUUACACUGGUGUGUUGACUUUCUCUCGCACAGUUUACCAAAAUGAUGCCGGAUCAUAUGAACUGGAGUUUGCUGUGAAAGACAGCGGUACUCCAGUUCUGUCAGCAACAACUAGUGUGUCUUUGACACUGACUGUUAGUAACAAGACAUCACUAAUGUCAACUGCGGUACAAUCACAAUCAGAUAACACAAUAGAUGUCACGUUUUUAAUUAUAAUUGUUGCUGUAACAGUCAUCGUCUCUGUUGCAAUUGUAAUUGCCAUAACACUGUGCAUUGUGAGAUGUAACAAUGUGAGGAAUGGCUCUGUGAGAAGAACGGAAGAUAAGCAAACGUACCAAUCAAGAAAUGAAAUUGGGCAGCUGAUCUAUCAGACAAACAGUCCAGUUGUUUUGAAAGGAAACCAGGAAGAAAUAAUACAUAGAAAUACUUCAUCAAUGAGAUCCCAGAAUCAGUUUUGUCCAGAAGAAGGAUUAGAAAAAGAGUGGCAAACAACAGCCAUGAUAAGAGCUCUGCCGCCAAACACUCAGGCACAAGGCCACAACUUUUGUGAAGAGACUCUAGUUGAUCAGAUGGAUGGUCAGUAUUUGACUGGCACUUAUUAUCUGAACCCUUGAGGGAUGAAAGACAAAGUUGAACCUCCUCAGCAGGAUUUGAACUCAGAACAUAAAGAGACCUAACUAAAUACCUCAUAAUCGACAUAAUCCUGAGAAAGUGACAGUACUUGAGUGAUAAAGAGAUAUUAUGGGAAAACGGUCUGAUGUAGUUCUAAAGACUCUAAGAACCUAAAGUCUGGUUGUUUUGGCUCACAGAAAAAGUAUAGUCAGCCAGUAAGAGUGACAUCCUACGGUGAACAUGAAGAACAAAACGUUGUUCUUGCACCCAGUUUUCUCAACGAUUCCUUACUGACAGAUAUGGACAGCAGAUGUGACUGGACAGAACGUAACUUGGG